AUGUAUGUAUAUAUAGAUAAUAACAAGAAUAACUUUUCUACUAAACUUUAGUUUGUGUGCACUGGCAUGAGACUCGAGACUUUAAAUUGACCAUGCCAUGCGAUCAGAUUUUAAUAAAAAUUGAUAGUUGCUAUUAGUCUGAAAAUACUUGACCUUGUUACCAGAAGCAAUGUAAAUAAAGGUCUGCGAGCCGGUUUAAUUAGUAAAGUAAUCAUUAGUUAUGAUUAUUACUUCGUUGAGAAGAAUAGUACCACGUUUCCGUUGUGAGUUAUGGGACUUAAAAUGUAUAACUUGUAACUUUAAAUAAAAUAAAAGAUUGACUUAAGCUCAUCCGUUUUAUUUAUUUUUCUUCUGUUAUUGUUUAGUGUCACGAUAGAGCUAAAUUUACGUGUUAUAUAUAAUUCGUUAUUAAAUUACGCAAACUGUCACAUGGUGAAUAACGAUGCCCUUAAUACUACUCACGUUUCAAUUAUAAUGAAAAUAAUUUAUCGU